rnacentral:rRNA from 1 species
AGUGAACGCUGGCGGUAGGCCUAACACAUGCAAGUCGAACGGCAGCACAGUAAGAGCUUGCUCUUACGGGUGGCGAGUGGCGGACGGGUGAGGAAUACAUCGGAAUCUACUUUUUCGUGGGGGAUAACGUAGGGAACCUUACGCUAAUACCGCAUACGACCUACGGGUGAAAGCAGGGGAUCUUCGGACCUUGCGCGAUUGAAUGAGCCGAUGUCGGAUUAGCUAGUUGGCGGGGUAAAGGCCCACCAAGGCGACGAUCCGUAGCUGGUCUGAGAGGAUGAUCAGCCACACUGGAACUGAGACACGGUCCAGACUCCUACGGGGGGCAGCAGUGGGGAAUAUUGGACAAUGGGCGCAAGCCUGAUCCAGCCAUACCGCGUGGGUGAAGAAGGCCUUCGGGUUGUAAAGCCCUUUUGUUGGGAAAGAAAAGCAGCAGGUUAAUACCCCGCUGUUCUGACGGUACCCAAAGAAUAAGCACCGGCUAACUUCGUG